AAUCUCAGUUCAGACUGCAGGCUGCAACUCGCCUGCACGAAGUCGGAAUUGCUAGUAAUCGUAGGUCAGCAUACUACGGUGAAUACGUUCCCGGGCCUUGUGCACACCGCCCGUCAAACCAUGAGAGUUGGCAACACCCGAAGUCGGUAGCCUAACCGCAAGGAGGACGCCGCCGAAGGUGGGGUUGAUGAUUAGGGUUAAGUCGUAACAAGGUAAC
rnacentral:rRNA from 1 species